rnacentral:rRNA from 1 species
ACGAACGCUGGCGGCGUGCUUCACACCUGCCAGUCGUACGGUAAGGCCCUUUCGGGGGUACACGAGUGGCGAACGGGUGAGUAACACGUGAGUAACCUGCCCACAACUUUGGGAUAACGCUAGGAAACUGGUGCUAAUACUGGAUAUGUGCUCCUGCUGCAUGGUGGGGGUUGGAAAGCUCCGGCGGUUGUGGAUGGACUCGCGGCCUAUCAGCUUGUUGGUGGGGUAGUGGCCUACCAAGGCGGCGACGGGUAGCCGGCCUGAGAGGGUGACCGGCCACAUUGGGACUGAGAUACGGCCCAGACUCCUACGGGAGGCAGCAGUGGGGAAUAUUGCACAAUGGGCGCAAGCCUGAUGCAGCAACGCCGCGUGCGGGAUGACGGCCUUCGGGUUGUAAACCGCUUUCAGCAGGGACGAAGCUUUUUGUGACGGUACCUGCAGAAGAAGCACCGGCUAACUACGUG